AUCAUAUGAUGGAUUGCGAUCUCCCAGCGCAGCAGGACACGGGGACCAUGCAAGCUGUAAUUGGUCAGGUAUGGAGUCAGCCAUUUCUCAACUCCCCCUUUUCCACAAGGGUCUCACCAUAUGAUUCACAUAAUUCAUAUUUACUGUACCAUCUUUCUAUCUGUGUCUUCAGCUACCUGCCAGUGCAGCGCUGAAAGUGCGAAAGGCAAAAGGCACCCAUUAAAUCUGGCUAGGGAGGCUCAGCUGGAAACUUCAGUGUGAUGCUCUUAAACAGAAACCAAAACAAAACCACCACCAAGAAAUUCAAAGAGCGUAUCAAAUUUAUGACUUGGGCUGAAUAUGAAAAACUUUCAUUUUAAGCAUUUAUAUUUUUUUCUGCUUAGAUUGUGAUCUCUGAAAGAAAUAAAGUAUGAGAAGAAAAUAAAGUGCCAUGCUUCCCAGGCAGUAGUUACAAAUUUUUAUUGUGCUAUUCAAUGUUUUCACUUGGAUUGUAUUCUUCUAUCUUCCUCUCUCUGUAUGGAAAAUACAAGUACACAAAUACAAGUGCCUUUCUUUAGUCCUAGCCCUGGUGGUGUGUGACUGAGCCUGGCAAAUGUAGUAGUAGCCAUCGCCUCCUCUGCUGCAGAGGGGCAGGCUGCAAAUUAAACACCGCCACAAUCUGAAAGGUCCAGGUGGCCUGCCCGCGCUUCCUAAUGCAAUCCAGCACACCAGCUUUAAUAAACAGCUCUAUUUAGUUCCUCCUCUCUGUAUCCAGGGAGGUGAACUGGUCUGGGGCUGCUGUGAUGAAAUGCCAGAAGAAUCUCUCUCAGAGGCCUCACAAGCUGAUUUUUAGAGCUUUGCUGUUCUGUCGUCUUUGUCUUCCAAAUGGGUCAGUGAGUCCCGCUCUCUCUGUCUGGUGUUUUCUGUUAAAUCGGUACUUUAUGAUUGUGCUUAAGUGUUCGGGUUGUAAGCUAAAUGAGAGGAGGAAAGGUCAUUGUCUUUUCAUUUGCCUUCUGAUAACUGAAGAGCUAAAAGGAAGGAUGUGCCCUGCUGGAGGGAGCUUUUCUGUGAUGGAGGGUGGGGUGUGC
rnacentral:lncRNA from 1 species